CAUGGAUGAAAUGUGAAGAAGAUGAUGUUUGGUCUGAAGACCUUCCUACAUGGCGGUUCUUUCAGUGGGAUGGCUUCUGUUUCUAUUGGUUUCAUCCAGGGCUAUGACGCAACCAAUCAGUGCUUUACAUGCUUAGAAGGCAACCAAAAGAAGGCUUUUGCACUGGCGAUGAGAGGUUGCAGUGUUGCAGUUAAUGUUCAAAUUGGUUAGUAGUUGCAUCCGAUUUUAAUUUUCUUU